rnacentral:rRNA from 1 species
AUUGAACGCUGGCGGCAGGCCUAACACAUGCAAGUCGAGCGAGUGGCGGACGGGUGAGUAAUGUAUGGGAAUCUGCCCGAUAGAGGGGGAUAACUACUGGAAACUGUCGCUAAUACCGCAUACUAUCGGAUGACCCCAGAUGGGAUUAGCUAGUAGGUGGGGUAAAGGCUCACCUAGGCGACGAUCUCGAGCUGGUCUGAGAGGAUGAUCAGCCAAACUGGAACUGAUACACGGCCCAGACUCAUACGGGAGGCAGCAGUGGGGAAUAUUGCACAAUGGGCGCAAGCCGGAUGCAGCCAUGCCGCGUGUAUGAAGAAGGCCUUAGGGUUGUAAAGUACUUUCAGCGGGGAGGCGUUACCCGCAGAAGAAGCACCGGCUAACUCCGUGCCAGAAGACGCGGUAAUAC